rnacentral:piRNA from 2 species
UGAGUACUAAUUGCAAAUGCAUUUUCCUC